GGGGCUGAUAUAGCUUUCGACGAUUGGAUCUUAACAGGAUAUUCUGCGAGCCGAACAUGCACGAUACGCAUAUUCUAAUUGCAAACACAUUUGCAAGCAAAGUUAAGGCGCUUUUUGCUCCUAUGAACUUUGCGCCAGUUGCAGCCUAAAGCUGUCAACCGUCCGUCUGCUUGAUUUAGCAUAGAGCAGCGGGUGUCAUAUUUAUGCUAAUUGCCAUGCUGUUGGGGAGCGGCGAUAGUGUGGGACUUUUUCCGCGCAACUGACUAUAAUAUUUUUGGCUAAUUUUAAAAUUAUGGAAGUUGUAAAAUAUUAAAUUAAGCCUAUGCUUGUAGACGAAUAUCAUGUUACCAACCGGACCCGGGGGCAGUACCCGGCAGCUCCACCA
rnacentral:tmRNA from 1 species